UUUUUUCAGCUUGAACCGAAUCGGGUCAUGUCUCUGUAUUGGGCCGGACUGUAUUUCUUUCACUUCCUUCAAAUAUUAAUUUUUUUUAUCGGCAAAAUGAAUCCCACCUCUUAUUAUCAUUUUUUAUUUUUUCUCUAGUUAUUCAUUAUUUAUAUCGCACGGAUUACUACGUUAGUAUAAAUGAAUUUUGUUAUAAUUGGACAAUCCCAGUAGAAAAACAUUUUUACCUUUCU
rnacentral:lncRNA from 1 species